rnacentral:rRNA from 1 species
GAUGAACGCUAGCUACAGGCUUAACACAUGCAAGUCGAGGGGCAGCAUGGUCUUAGCUUGCUAAGGCCGAUGGCGACCGGCGCACGGGUGAGUAACACGUAUCCAACCUGCCGUCUACUCUUGGACAGCCUUCUGAAAGGAAGAUUAAUACAAGAUGGCAUCAUGAGUCCACAUGUUCACAUGAUUAAAGGUAUUCCGGUAGACGAUGGGGAUGCGUUCCAUUAGAUAGUAGGCGGGGUAACGGCCCACCUAGUCUUCGAUGGAUAGGGGUUCUGAGAGGAAGGUCCCCCACAUUGGAACUGAGACACGGUCCAAACUCCUACGGGAGGCAGCAGUGAGGAAUAUUGGUCAAUGGGCGAGAGCCUGAACCAGCCAAGUAGCGUGAAGGAUGACUGCCCUAUGGGUUGUAAACUUCUUUUAUAAAGGAAUAAAGUCGGGUAUGGAUACCCGUUUGCAUGUACUUUAUGAAUAAGGAUCGGCUAACUCCGUGCCAGCAGCCGCGGUAAUACGGAGGAUCCGAGCGUUAUCCGGAUUUAUUGGGUUUAAAGGGAGCGUAGAUGGAUGUUUAAGUCAGUUGUGAAAGUUUGCGGCUCAACCGUAAAAUUGCAGUUGAUACUGGAUAUCUUGAGUGCAGUUGAGGCAGGCGGAAUUCAUGGUGUAGCGGUGAAAUGCUUAGAUAUCACGAAGAACUCCGAUUGCGAAGGCAGCCUGCUAAGCUGCAACUGACAUUGAGGCUCGAAAGUGUGGGUAUCAAACAGGAUUAGAUACCCUGGUAGUCCACACGGUAAACGAUGAAUACUCGCUGUUUGCGAUAUACAGCAAGCGGCCAAGCGAAAGCGUUAAGUAUUCCACCUGGGGAGUACGCCGGCAACGGUGAAACUCAAAGGAAUUGACGGGGGCCCGCACAAGCGGAGGAACAUGUGGUUUAAUUCGAUGAUACGCGAGGAACCUUACCCGGGCUUAAAUUGCAGAUGAAUUACGGUGAAAGCCGUAAGCCGCAAGGCAUCUGUGAAGGUGCUGCAUGGUUGUCGUCAGCUCGUGCCGUGAGGUGUCGGCUUAAGUGCCAUAACGAGCGCAACCCUUGUUGUCAGUUACUAACAGGUUCCGGUGAGGACUCUGACAAGACUGCCAUCGUAAGAUGUGAGGAAGGUGGGGAUGACGUCAAAUCAGCACGGCCCUUACGUCCGGGGCUACACACGUGUUACAAUGGGGGGUACAGAGGGCCGCUACCACGCGAGUGGAUGCCAAUCCCAAAAACCUCUCUCAGUUCGGACUGGAGUCUGCAACCCGACUCCACGAAGCUGGAUUCGCUAGUAAUCGCGCAUCAGCCACGGCGCGGUGAAUACGUUCCCGGGCCU